rnacentral:lncRNA from 1 species
CUCACUGCAGCCUUCAACUACUGGGCUCAAGCAAUCUCCCACUCACCUCACCCUCCCAAGUAGCUAGGACUAUAGGCACGCACCACCAUGCCUGGCCGAUUUUUUUUUUUCUUUUUGUAGCAAAGUCAUGCUAUGUGGUCCAGGCUGGUCUUGAACUCCUGGCUUCAAGGGAUCCUCCAAACCUUGGCCUCACAUAAUCGUGUCAUAAUUUUUACAUUUCUUUUCUUUUCUUUUCUUUUCUUUUUUUUUUUUUUUUUUGAGACGGAGUUUCGCUCUUGUUGCCUAGGCUGGAGUGCAGUGGCACCAUCUCGGCUCACCUCAACCUCCGCCUCCUGGGUUCAAGCAAUUCUCCUACCUCAGCCUCCCGAGUAGCUGGGAUUACAGGCAUGCGCCACCACUCCCGGCUGAUUUGAUUUUUUGUAUUUUUAGUAGAGACGGGGUUUCUCCAUGUUGGUCAGGCUGAUCUCAAACUCCCGACCU